rnacentral:pre_miRNA from 1 species
GAAUCGUAAAGAAGGCUGGGAGCUUUUUAAUAUCUUUUGAGGGGAAUGUUGUCUGGCUCGAAGCCGCUAUUAACAAUGGCCGAUGAGAAAUUCGGCAGAUAGGUUUAGCGACUUCGGACCAGGCUUCAUUCCCCCCAAUUGCUUUGCUCCAGUUCCCUCUAAUUAUUCCCGAUCUGGACGAUUC